AACCUGGUUGAUCCUGCCAGUAGUCAUAUGCUUGUCUCAAAGAUUAAGCCAUGCAUGUCUAAGUUCACACUGUUUGACGGUGAAACCGCGAAUGGCUCAUUAAAUCAGUCGAGGUUCCUUAGAUGACACGAUCCUACUUGGAUAACUGUGGCAAUUCUAGAGCUAAUACAUGCUUACCAAGCUCCGACCUUUAUUGGAAAGAGCGCUUUUAUUAGUUCAAAACCAAUCGCCGUGUGCCUCCGUGGUGCAAGCCGUGGUCGCGCGGCGUCCCAUUGGUGACUCUGGAUAACUUUG
rnacentral:rRNA from 1 species